rnacentral:rRNA from 1 species
UACGAAGGGGGCUAGCGUUGCUCGGAAUCACUGGGCGUAAAGGGUGCGUGGGCGGGUUUUUAAGUCAGAGGUGAAAUCCUGGAGCUCAACUCCAGAACUGCCUUUGAUACUGGGAAUCUUGAGUAUGGAAGAGGUGAGUGGAACUGCGAGUGUAGAGGUGAAAUUCGUAGAUAUUCGCAAGAACACCAGUGGCGAAGGCGGCUCACUGGCCCGGUACUGACGCUGAGGUGCGAAAGCGUGGGGAGCAAACAGG